CCUACGGGUGGCAGCAGUGAGGAAUAUUGGUCAAUGGACGAGAGUCUGAACCAGCCAAGUAGCGUGAAGGAUGACUGCCCUAUGGGUUGUAAACUUCUUUUAUAUGGGAAUAAAAUGUUCCACGUGUGGGAUUUUGUAUGUACCAUAUGAAUAAGGAUCGGCUAACUCCGUGCCAGCAGCCGCGGUAAUACGGAGGAUCCGAGCGUUAUCCGGAUUUAUUGGGUUUAAAGGGAGCGUAGGUGGAUUGUUAAGUCAGUUGUGAAAGUUUGCGGCUCAACCGUAAAAUUGCAGUUGAAACUGGCAGUCUUGAGUACAGUAGAGGUGGGCGGAAUUCGUGGUGUAGCGGUGAAAUGCUUAGAUAUUGCGAAGAACUCCGAUUGCGAAGGCAGUUCACUGGACUGCAACUGACACUGAGGCUCGAAAGUGUGGGUAUCAAACAGGAUUAGAUACCCCAGUAGUC
rnacentral:rRNA from 1 species